rnacentral:rRNA from 1 species
AUACGUAGGGAGCGAGCGUUGUCCGGAAUUACUGGGUGUAAAGGGAGCGUAGGCGGGAGUGCAAGUCAGAUGUGAAAUACAUGGGCUCAACCCAUGGGCUGCACUUGAAACUGCAUUUCUUGAGUGAAGUAGAGGUAAGCGGAAUUCCUGGUGUAGCGGUGAAAUGCGUAGAUAUCAGGAGGAACACCGGUGGCGAAGGCGGCUUACUGGGCUUUUACUGACGCUGAGGCUCGAAAGCGUGGGGAGCAAACAGGAUUAGAUACCCUGGUAGUCCACGCUGUAAACGAUGAUUACUAGGUGUGGGGGGACUGACCCCUUCCGUGCCGCAGUUAACACAAUAAGUAAUCCACCUGGGGAGUACGGCCGCAAGGUUGAAACUCAAAUGAAUUGGCGGGG